rnacentral:misc_RNA from 1 species
GUCGUGGUGGUGGGAGUAUGCUGCUGGUAUCAUUUUGAAAGUUGGUCUUCUAAGACAUGUUAUCGUGGUUGCAGUAGAUGCUAGCGAACUGCCUGUAAUCAGAUACCGGUCUGGCGAACAUAUGCGUCAUUUUUGUCUCAUGUAGUAUUUCUAGCAUUUCGCUAAGUCGUUUAAUCUGAAAUGCAAAAUAAUCUAACAAACGCAUCUGGAAGGAUGGAGAACCCGUACCUGACCACGCCGGCGCUGCUGGGCCUGUCGCAGCACACGGCCGGAUUCUCGGAGGCCCUGAGAAUGUCCCGCACCUUCGCCCCUCAGGCGGCUGACAGCAAGGAGUACGGCGGCGGCGCGUUCGGCGGCGGCCCGCUGGCGCUGCGCUCCUCGUUCGACUUUCCCUCGCUGUCCGGUCCUCUGUUCCUGGGCUCGCCGUUCCUGCCGGCCGGCAUGGACCCGCGCCUGCCGUUCGCCGGCUCGGCCUUCCACCCGGUGACCUCUGCAGCCGCCGCGGCCGCCGCCGCCGCAGCCGCAGCCGCGCCGUUCGACAGGAAGUUCUUUUCGCCGGCGAAACGGGACCCGAAGCCGGAGCCGACGGGCGAGUACGGCGAGGUGUCGUCGACGGCGACGGCGGCGCGCCGGCCGGCCGACGACGAGGAGCGUGCCAGCACGGCGUCGGACCGCUCCAGCCCCGAGGAGGCCAGGGCCAGGAAGCGGGCGCCGUCGCCGGUGGACCCAUCCAGCUGCCCGAUCUGCUGCGAGGCGCUGCGGCCUGGAGAGGUGGCCAGCCACUGCCGCGCAGAGCUGGAGCGACUGCUGCAACAGACCAUCGGCGCCCGAGAGCGACACGACCGUGACGGACUCGGCUGGGAGACAUACCACCGGGUGCGCAGUAACCGGCAGCUGCGACUCCGCUGUAAGAUGCGCAAACGCCGCGGCGAGGACCCGAGCGACUGCGGCGGCGGCUGCGGGCCGGACCGCGCCGACCAGCAGCACUCGACCCGGCUGGCGCCACCGGCCAAGCGCCCUGCCACGGCGCUGGGCGGCGCCGCGGUCCCGGCCAGCCCCGGGAAGCCGGCGCCGGCCGUCGCGCCCGACGAUGACGAGGAGGUGGAUGUGCUGGGAGACGCCGACUGUAACGGCGGCGCCCCGGCCGGCGGCGGUGGGCCGGCGGCCGACUGGCGGCGGCCCAGGGACGACUCGGGCGCCACAGACCUGCGGACCACCGGUGUGGACGUGGCGGCCCGCGCCAGCCCCGUGUAUGAGGACGGUGUGCCGGACACCACAGCAGAGAAGGGCUCCGCGACCAGUGACCCGUCGGCGCCACUGGCCGCUGAGCUGGAGCGGCUGCGCGCCCAGCUGGCGGCGCUGGAGCACGAGACGAGCCGGUACCGGUGCGGCGUGUGCAGUCGCGCCUUCCGCCAGCCGCUGGUCUCCACACACUGCUGGCACGUGCACUGCACGCCCUGCUGGAACGCCGCGCUGGGCGCCGACCGGCGGUGUCCUCAGUGCAGUGUCCACGUGGACGCCGACGACUUGAACGCCAUACAUGUCUAGCUUCCUAGUCCCGAUGGCCACGUGCGGCACCAUCACGUGCCGGGCGCGCACGUGCAUACGAGCUGAUGUUGUAGACCCUUUACAUACACUUGACUGAUGUGUGUGAGCACAUAGACACACAUGCGCACAUGAUCGUUUGUCGGGUCCGUUAGAUUUCCCUAUUUGUCCAAAUCGCACGGUGCCAAGAUAUUGUUCAGGGCAACACAUCCAGACCACCCCGAACUCUGUAGCAGCCCGGGACGCCAGUCUGGUUUCGCCGCACACAGGUGUGCUGGCGUGCGGCGGUUCCGAUCGCGGGUCGACAGGGUGUCGCCCGCCGGCCGCCAUUCCGACGAGUGGGGGGCGGACUUCGUCCGCCUCUGACGGGGUUCUCGCCGCCCCAUGUCGUUCCCCAGGAGCUUCUCACACUGUUACACUGUAUGUGCUAGGUCUGGACUCGUGUAAAGUCGCCGGUGUUAUAUCCAGUCACUCGCAGUGUCACUGCGGCCGUUCGUGGUACACGUGUACCCUGCGCUGUUGCCACUGAUGCGGCCAGUAUCGGCAGUGAGUCACACGAGGCGCGGGCCGCCGGAGAAUAUACUGCACAGUACCGUGCCGUGCUGCUCGGCAGCUCAGGCGUAGUAGCCGAGUCCGCGCUGUGCUGUCUUAUCUGGCUGGUCUGGUGCAGCUCCAGGCGCGGCGGGUGCGCCGGGCGCGCCGCUGGAAUGGUCAGUAUGGGAGCGAGGUAUUGGCGCGGGCUCCCCUGUUGUGUGGUCAGUAUGGGAGCCAGGUAUGAGCCGCCGCAGGACUCCCCUGUUGUGUGUUGAUGUUACCCGCCGCAGCGGGCUGAUCCUAUUCGUGCCAAAGACAGUUGUUCUGUGCAGUGGUCCGUUUGAGAGCGUGUGUGCGUGUGCGGCCUCCAUAAAGAGCUCACCAUUCCCGUGCUACUUGGCGUUGUGCGUGCGUGGUGUAUGUGUGCUUAAUGUACAAAGUAAUCCAGAAUACUACGGUACAACCCUGA